UCUCCGGUAUUUCUUGGCCCGACCGCGGGGUGUUGGGGAAACUCUAGGCUGGGCGCUUUGCUCUAUGUUCUUUUCGUUAUGGUUUUCGUUUAAGACGGGAGAGCUCCAGUGCCUUUCUUUUGGUGUCGCAAAGCCGGCGAUGCGCGUAGAUUAGGGUACUAGAAUGGGAGUGGGGAUGCGCUAGAUCGAGCAGCGCAUCGGUGGAUUCACUGAUUUCUUGGGGGAAUUCGCGGCCGCGAAUGUAGGGCAGAUAAUGCCGAGCAAACGGAUAGCUCGAAUUUGAAGUGGUGGAGCAAGGGAAUGUGCGCGAUCGCAGCGUGAGCAAGGGCGUGGCAGCGGCGGUAGGGAAUGCUGGUCGGAAUCCAUGAAAGGGAGCGGCGGUGGCAAGCUGCGCAGCACGCCCAAGGCUCAGAUGGAAAAGAAUUACUCAUCGCAGCAUAGAGAUUUCGAGGACUUGGCCGACGUGAAGAUGCAGCACGAGUGUGGGAAAUCACGCCUUCGAUUGUGUAGAACCAAGUCCAUUUUCUUGGUGCUAUCGUUCCUCGUGUUCACCCUCUUUAUAUUCAGCAACUUUAUCGUCGAUCCAUUUCCAAGGAGCUUUUGGAAAUGGAGAAGAGUCGGUGUCAUAGGACAGCCUCAAAUUCAGGCCGAACUGUUCGAAACAUGCGAGGAUCGGCCGCGCGGUGGAAAGGAUUUACUACCGAGAGGAAUUGUCCAGCAAACAUCCAACUUCGAGGUCCAGCCGCUGGGAAGAGUUUCCAGGAAGAAGGUUCCCAACGGGCUACUCGCUGUAGCGGCUGGCAUAAAGCAGAAGCGUUAUGUGGACCGAAUUGUCCAGAAGUUUCUCGCUCACAACUUCACAAUCAUGCUGUUUCACUAUGACGGUGUCGUGGACAAGUGGAACGAGUUACCUUGGAGUAGUCGUGCCAUCCAUGUUGUAGCAAUAAAUCAAACGAAGUGGUGGUUUGCUAAGCGCUUUUUGCACCCUGAUAUUGUUGAUCCGUAUGAGUACAUUUUUGUCUGGGACGAAGAUCUCGGUGUCGAAAAUUUUCAUGUUGAUAGAUAUUUGGCCAUUAUGAAGUACGAGCGUCUAGAAAUUUCACAGCCUGCUCUAGAGCCCAACGCGUCGGAAGUCCACCAUCGUAUAACAAUUCGAAGCAAGAGAUACAGGGUACACAGGUACGUAUAUAUAAUGCUUUGGUGGCUCAAAUAUUUCCUUUGCUUUUGUAGGAGGAGUUUAAAGCCCAAAGGGACUGGGACAUUGUGUUUUGAGAACAGCACAGAUCCACCAUGUACAGGCUGGGUCGAAGGCAUGGCCCCUGUUUUUACACGAGAUGCAUGGAAAUGUGUCUGGCACCUCAUCCAGAACGACUUGGUUCACGGAUGGGGAAUGGACUUCAAGCUUGGUUAUUGUGUAAAGGGAGACCGGUCCAAGAGCGUUGGAGUAAUAGACAGCGAGUACAUUGUUCACAGAGGCAUUCCUUCUUUAGGCGGUCCAGCAAAGAGUAAGGCAAGCCUGGGGUCUGGAACCGAUGCAAGAUCAGAGGUUCGCAAGCGUUCCUUCGCCGAGCUCAAUAUUUUUUCCCAACGGUGGCGGAAUGCUGUCAAAGAAGACGAGUGCUGGCGGGAUCCUUACAAGCAUAGAACUUAUUUUGGGGAUGGCGAACAGGUUCGCUUGCGGGAAGUAGGUUUGCUUGUGUUUUAGGACAAAGUUUUUGCGGGGACGGAAGCUCGAGCUAUUUUUUUCAGGUAUGCCAGGUUCUUUGCUUGUGUCGUGCUCACCACCUUGGUCGUUUGUCUGGUGUUUGAAGGCAAGACAAGUGGUUUUUGGUUUUGGUUUAUGAAUGCUCUCUAUUACCGACAGCUGGUAUUCCUUGACUCUGGCAUGGCAUCGGUCUGCAUGCCGUCUGGUGUAUGAAUUAUGGCAGGCUUCUGCGCUGAAAACGACUCUACAAAAUGGAUAUUGAUUUGAAUAAACUACAAGUAAGUAGGAGCUUCUUGUUCAUUCCAGUUAAUCAAGGUGCUGAUUCGAAAAA